AUGGUCCCAUCAUGUGUACCUGAGGAUGGGUACCUGCGGUGUGGUGGUGGCGUCGUCGCCCUCGGCCGCACGGACGUUCCUGAAGGCGCGCUGGACGAGCGGUUCACGAACCUGCCGCCGGUGGCCAGCGCGGAGGACAUCUCGUGCGGGUGCCGGAACAUGGUGUUCGCCAACUACGGGCCCAAGUGGAAGCUGAUGCGGAAGCUGUCGAACGUGCGCCUUCUCGGCGAACGCACGGUCGCGGACUGGACGAGCGUGCGCCGCUACGAGGCCGGACGCGCCCUGCAUGACAUGCUGGAAGAAUUAGAGUUGUUGAUUGACCAACAAAAAGCCAUAUAUACUCCCUCCGUCCAGUGA
rnacentral:rRNA from 1 species